GAGUUUGAUCAUGGCUCAGAUUGAACGCUGGCGGCAGGCCUAACACAUGCAAGUCGAACGGAAACAUGUCUAGCUUGCUAGAUGAUGUCGAGUGGCGGACGGGUGAGUAAUGCCUGGGAAUUUGCCUUUGUGUGGGGGAUAACUAUUGGAAACGAUAGCUAAUACCGCAUAAUACCUACGGGUCAAAGGGGGCUUCGGCUCCCGCGCAAAGAGAAGCCCAGGUGAGAUUAGCUUGUUGGUGAGGUAAAGGCUCACCAAGGCGACGAUCUCUAGCUGUUCUGAGAGGAAGAUCAGCCACACUGGAACUGAGACACGGUCCAGACUCCUACGGGAGGCAGCAGUGGGGAAUAUUGCACAAUGGAGGAAACUCUGAUGCAGCCAUGCCGCGUGUGUGAAGAAGGCCUUCGGGUUGUAAAGCACUUUCAGUUGUGAGGAAAGGUGAGUAGUUAAUACCUGCUUGCUGUGACGUUAACAACAGAAGAAGCACCGGCUAACUCCGUGCCAGCAGCCGCGGUAAUACGGAGGGUGCAAGCGUUAAUCGGAAUUACUGGGCGUAAAGCGCACGCAGGCGGUCUGUUAAGCUAGAUGUGAAAGCCCCGCGCUCAACGUGGGAUGGUCAUUUAGAACUGGCAGACUAGAGUUUUGGAGAGGAGAGUGGAAUUCCAGGUGUAGCGGUGAAAUGCGUAGAUAUCUGGAGGAACAUCAGUGGCGAAGGCGACUCUCUGGUCAAUAACUGACGCUCAUGUGCGAAAGUGUGGGUAGCGAACGGGAUUAGAUACCCCGGUAGUCCACACCGUAAACGCUGUCUACUAGCUGUUUGUGGAUUUAAUCCGUGAGUAGUCAAGCUACCCCGAUAAGUAGACCGCCUGGCG
rnacentral:rRNA from 1 species